rnacentral:tmRNA from 1 species
GGGGGCGUCACGGUUUCGAUUCAAACCGGAAGCGACCUGCGGCAAGCCGAGGGCCCGGAUUGGUUGGCCUCGUUAAAAAGCCGAUCCAAAAAUUAAAAGCUAACGAAGAGUUGGCUCUCGCGGCCUAAACAGCCGUGACGCCGCCCCCUCGACCCCGGCUAGGGGGGAGCGGCGUGUUGGCCGGGCCGGGGAAAAGGUGAGCGACCGACCUUUUCCCCGGAACCAACGUGGUGGCUACGGACGACGGGCCGGUGGCAGGGCAACCGUCAUCCCGACAAUCAACCUGCCAACAAGCUUGUAGAUGCGGGUGGUAUCUGGUUUGAAGACGUGGGUUCAACUCCCACCGCCUCCAUAU